GAAGAGAUAAGUGCUGAAAGCAUCUAAGCACGAAACUUGCCCCGAGAUGAGUUCUCCCUGACUCCUUGAGAGUCCUGAAGGAACGUUGAAGACGACGACGUUGAUAGGCCGGGUGUGUAAGCGCAGCGAUGCGUUGAGCUAACCGGUACUAAUGAACCGUGAGGCUUAACCUUACAACGCCGAAGGUGUUU
rnacentral:rRNA from 1 species